AGUGAACGCUGGCGGCGUGCCUAAUACAUGCAAGUCGAACGGAGUGGCGCACGGGUGAGUAAUGUAUAUCUAAUCUGCCCUACACUAGAGGACAACAGUUGGAAACGGCUGCUAAUACUCUAUAGUGUAGGAUGAGGCUAUAUUGUAUCAGCUAGUUGGUGAGGUAAUGGCUCACCAAGGCUAUUACGCAUAACUGGGCUGAGAGGAUAAUCAGUAACACUGGAAGUGAGACACGGUCCAGACUCAUACGGGAGGGAGCAGUAGGGAAUAGUGCUCAAGGGGGGAAACCCUGAAGCAGCAACGCCGCGUGGAGGAUGACACUUUGCGGAGCGUAAACUCCUUUUGUUAGGGAAGCGGUACCUAACGAAUAAGCACCGGCUAACUCCGUGCCAGCAGCCGCGGUAAUUC
rnacentral:rRNA from 1 species